GAUCUCUUUCUGGCAAUCCCUCCUUUGGAAUUUUCUAAUCAGCCCAGGGCAUGGAACUUCUUCACAGAUAUUGAAGUGUAGUGGGGACCAAAGUAUCACAGACACAGCAGACUGCAGUAUCCAAAAUAGAAUGAAGAUGUGUGGAAAUCCUGAACUGAGAUACAGCCACAAACUCUGAGGUGCCUGAACUUCAAAACAAAUUCUGCUGUUCUGUUAUUCUGAAUUUCCGUACAUAACUCAAGGUAUGCAUCAGCAGAUGCUUGUAAUACAUUUAGUUCUAAAAUUGUUGAUCUGAGCAUGUUUGGCACAUACAUAAGCUAGCUAGCCAGGAACCAGAAAACUGCAUGUUCUUCUCCUGAGUUCUUCAGAGGUGCCUGCACAAGGAAACAAAAAAGACAACCAACUUCUAGGAGUCAAAUAUAACAGUUAAAGAGGGAACUUAUAUUAAAAUGGAAUGAUAGUGAUGAAAUUCAGUCCUUACUCCUCAAAGUAUAUUAAUAUUUAUGAAUUUUACAUAUGUAUAUUCUUAUAUAUGAAGUAGAUAUUUUUCCUCACUGUUGUUUAACAUUAAAACCCAAAAUAACUCUGGAAUUAGUAAUCAGAAAACAUGUAUCUCUCAAGUCUGUCUGAGCUCAGUAAAUUGUAACUGUGCUUACAACAUCUCAGCAUGGAAACAUGCAUUCCUGUCUGGAUUAAAUUUGUUUGUUCUUUUUUCUCUUCUGUCUUUUAAUAACUGCAAAUUGAGCAUUAGGAAUGACACACUUCACCCCUACUACCAACAAAUGGCCUGUAAAAUUGCCUCGUGAAACUACUGCUGUACAGUUUACUUCAUUCCAGAUCUUGUAUUGUCAGUCAACUGGUGCAACAGAUGAAGUGGUGCUCCAUCAGCAGAAGACAAAAGACCAUUCUGGAAGGACUGAACACCAUGUGCUGGUUUCACCUGUCAUUGCAGAGAUCAGGAAAAGGACCCAGAAUGCAAAGUGAUUUUCCCAGUAACCCUGAAUCAGGUCCCAAGACACUGUACCAAGCUGAGUGUCCCUGAUUGCCUUCAUGGUGAAAGUGACUUUGUAUUGACUAUAGAAACAUACAGACAUCUCCUUAGAGAUAGGAUGGAAUAGUCCUUUACAUCACUUUCAGAGGGACACAAAUUAUCCCAUAGUGAAAUAUCUGUGAGACCAGAAAUCUAAAACAAAGGUUUUUUUUGGUACAAACAGCAGCCUACCAAUUAAAUAUUUUGGGUAUAUCCAGGAUGGCUCUGUGUCGUGCAUACUACAGGCUUGACCUAAACAGCCUUGGUUAGAAACUAGGUAUUCUCCAAAUAUUAUCACAGAGAUGAAUAACUUAAAAAUAUUAUUAGCAUGACUCCUCUAGAGUGAGAAGUUACGUUUUUGUUUUUUUUU